AGUGAACGCUGGCGGUAGGCCUAACACAUGCAAGUCGAACGGCAGCACAGAGGAGCUUGCUCCUUGGGUGGCGAGUGGCGGACGGGUGAGGAAUACAUCGGAAUCUACUCUGUCGUGGGGGAUAACGUAGGGAAACUUACGCUAAUACCGCAUACGACCUACGGGUGAAAGCAGGGGACCUUCGGGCCUUGCGCGAUUGAAUGAGCCGAUGUGGGAUUAGCUAGUUGGCGGGGUAAAGGCCCACCAAGGCGACGAUCCGUAGCUGGUCUGAGGGGGUGAUCAGCCACACUGGGACUGAGACACGGUCCAGACUCCUACGGGAGGCAGCAGUGGGGAAUAUUGGACAAUGGGCGCAAGCCUGAUCCAGCCAUACCGCGUGGGUGAAGAAGGCCUUCGGGUUGUAAAGCCCUUUUGUUGGGAAAGAAAUCCAGCUGGCUAAUACCCGGUUGGGAUGACGGUACCCAAAGAAUAAGCACCGGCUAACUUCGUGCCAGCCGCCGCGGUAA
rnacentral:rRNA from 1 species